GACUUCUCUAGGUUCUCUGAAGACUUCCACAGCAUACUGGAAAUUUAGUCUCAUAGUUUAUGAUGUCUCAAUUGGCAUAAUUCAGUUCUGUUUGCUCAGUGGACUGGGAGCAUUCUGUAGCUUCACUGUCACAAAUGGAACACUGCAGUCAUUUAUGCUGCCUCUUUCUUGUAGCUGAUCUUGGAUAUACAGCAUGUACAUUGACACACAGACUCUACUGAAACCAAAUAAAU